AGGCGCGUAGCUCAGUUGGUUUAGAGCACCACCUUGACAUGGUGGGGGUCGUUGGUUCGAAUCCAAUCGCGCCUACCA
rnacentral:tRNA from 1 species